CCUACGGGGGGCAGCAGUGGGGAAUAUUGGGCAAUGGGCGCAAGCCUGACCCAGCAACGCCGCGUGAAGGAAGAAGGCUUUCGGGUUGUAAACUUCUUUUGUCAGGGAAGAGUAGAAGACGGUACCUGACGAAUAAGCCACGGCUAACUACGUGCCAGCAGCCGCGGUAAUACGUAGGUGGCAAGCGUUGUCCGGAUUUACUGGGUGUAAAGGGCGUGUAGCCGGGUUGACAAGUCAGAUGUGAAAUCCUGCGGCUUAACCGCAGAACUGCAUUUGAAACUGUUGAUCUUGAGUACUGGAGAGGCAGACGGAAGUCCUAGUGUAGUGGUGAAAUGCGUAGAUAUUAGGAGGAACACCAGUGGCGAAGGCGGUCUGCUGGACAGCAACUGACGGUGAGGCGCGAAAGCGUGGGGAGCAAACAGGAUUAGAUACCCCAGUAGUC
rnacentral:rRNA from 1 species